rnacentral:rRNA from 1 species
CACAUGCAAGUCGAACGAUGAUCCGGUGCUUGCACCGGGGAUUAGUGGCGAACGGGUGAGUAACACGUGAGUAACCUGCCCUUGACUCUGGGAUAAGCCUGGGAAACCGGGUCUAAUACCGGAUAUGACUGCCGGCCGCAUGGCCUGGUGGUGGAAAGCUUUAUUGCGGUUUUGGAUGGACUCGCGGCCUAUCAGCUUGUUGGCGGGGUAAUGGCCCACCAAGGCGACGACGGGUAGCCGGCCUGAGAGGGUGACCGGCCACACUGGGACUGAGACACGGCCCAGACUCCUACGGGAGGCAGCAGUGGGGAAUAUUGCACAAUGGGCGCAAGCCUGAUGCAGCGACGCCGCGUGAGGGAUGAAGGCCUUCGGGUUGUAAACCUCUUUCAGUAGGGAAGAAGCGAAAGUGACGGUACCUGCAGAAGAAGCGCCGGCUAACUAC